UGGGCAUGAAUUAAUGGUUACUAGAGAUUCACAACGCCUGGGGAGCCUGCACA
rnacentral:misc_RNA from 1 species